AUGGACAUGAGAGUCUCCGCUCAACUCCUAGGGCUCCUGUUGCUCUGGCUGCCAGUUGCCAGAUUUGAUAUCCAGAUGACCCAGUCUCCAUCUUCCAUAUCAGCAUCUUUAGGUGACAUAGUCAUCAUCAGUUGUCAUGUGAGUCAGGAUAUUUACAAAUGGUUAUUCUGGUAUCAGCAAAAUCCAGGGAAAGCUCCUAAAUUGCUGAUCUAUGGUGCAACCAACUUUCACACUGGGGUCCCACAGAGGUUCAGUGGCAGUGGAACUGGGACAGAUUUCACUCUCACCAUCAGCAGCCUGCAGCCUGAGGACGCUGCAACUUAUUACUGUCAACAUAGUUAUGGUACACCUCCCACAAUGAUGCAAGCCAUAACAAAAAACACCUAG